UGAACAUUCUAGUCUCUUGUAGCAGAAUUAUUUGUAAGCUGUUUUAUUCCACGUCUUUAGUCUUGUAUAAAGUCUAUGUAGCAUAUUUUUCUGUCUUGGAAGCAGACUGCUGUGCAACUCUGGUUUGGCGUUAUGAAUAAUUAGCACCUACAAGGCCUUUAUUAUGAGAAACUGCCAAAUCCAGUUUGACCUGAGAUUCAGAACCAGAGCUAACUGGGUGUAAAGGAAACGCAAAAACAAAACUUGAUUUUCAGUUACACACAGGGCUUUUGUCCUAGUGUGCUCGACAUGAGAGGACAUAUUUAUACACGGAUUUCACUUCGAUAUAAAUAACUGUGUUGUGGGUGCGCUGCAUAUCUCAACUUUUCAAAUAUAUAAGUGAGCAAAAUGGAGUGGAGUUUGUGAAGAACUGUUUGUACAAAUGGAGACUUUUCUACGCGUGAAAGCUCGGACGCCUUCAAUCAAGUACAAAGAAAGCAGACAGCUGUCCAGACAGCACUUGAAUUUGACCACUAAAGUCUAGUGAGCGGCAAGACUGCCAUAAAGUGCCAGAAUAUUUGCAGAGGUAUUUUCGCACGCGAAGAAACGUGAAAUCUGUUCUAAACGUUUGCUGCGUUGAUGUUUACAUGUAAGAAUUGUGAGAAGCUUUAUUUGGAACUUUAUUCUUUUUUAUGUGUUAACUAUGUAAAAUGACACAGAGGCAGAAAGAAAAGAAACAGCAGCAACAUCAUCAGACUGUUGGGCGCACGGUGGCUCAGUGGUUUGUGGCCUCACACCUCGAGGGUUGGGGGUUCGAUUCCCGCCGCGACCUUGUGUGUGCGGAGCAUGUUCUCCCUUUGCUGCGGAUUUUCCUCCGGGUAUUCCUGUUUCUUCCCCCAGUCCAAAGAUGUAAGCAUGGUCGGCUGAUAGGAAUGUCCAAAGUGUCAAGUGUCCGUAGUAUGAAUGGGUGUGUGAAUGUGUAUGUGUGUGUGCCCUGCGAUGGAUUGGCACCUCGUCCAGGGUGUACCCCGCUUUAUGCCCCAUACCCCCGGGAUACGCUCCAGGUUCCCCGCAACCCUGUAAGAUAAGUGGUACAGACAAUGGAU
ensembl:lncRNA